rnacentral:lncRNA from 1 species
CGCCUUUAGGGGGCGGGGCCGGGGCGGGGCCGGUGGCCACGGGGGCGACGUCACUGGCCACGGAGGGGGCGGGGGUGGCCCCAGUAGCUCCAGAGUUGAUACUGGGGACACUGGUGGCCACUUUGGGGACGGUGGUGGCCACAUCGGAGACGGUGGUGGCCACUUUGGGGUCGUUGGUGGCCACAGCGGUGGCCCCAGUAGCUCCAGCGUUGACACUGGUGACACUGGUGGCCACUUCGGGGACGGUGGUGGCCACGGAGUUGACACUGGUGACACUGGUGGCCACUUUGGGGACGUUGGUGGCCACAUCAGAGACGUUGGUGGCCACGGGGGUGGCUCCAGAGUUGAUACUGGUCAUACUGGUGGCCACAGCAGAGACGUUGGUGGCCACUUUGGGGACGUUGGUGGCCACAUCAGAGACGUUGGUGGCCACGGGGGUGGCUCCAGCGUUGAUACUGGUGACACUGGUGGCCACAGCGCGGACGGUGGUGGCCACAGCAGGGAGGUUGGUGGCCACAGCGGGGACGUUGGUGGCCACGGAGGUGGCACCGGUAGCUCCAGCGUUGAUACUGGUGACACUGGUGGCCACGGUGGGGACGCUGGUGGCCACCGCAGAGAGGUUGGUGGCCCUGGGGCCACUGGUCAAACUGGUGGCCACGGUGGGGACGUUGGUGGCCUUGGGAGCGACGGCGACGCUGGUGGCCACUGGGGUGACGCUGGUGGCCACGGUGGGGACGUUGGUGGCCUUGGGAGCGACGGCGACGCUGGUGGCCACUGGGGUGACGCUGGUGGCCACGGUGGCUGCAGGGGUGGCCUUGGGAGCGCUGGUGGCCACGGAGGGGACACUGGUGGCCACGGGGGUGGCGUUGGUAGCCCUGGGGCCAUCCCUGGGACCAGUCACAGCGGUGGCCACCGCAGGGGGGAUGGUGGCCACGCUGGCCUUGGGGGUGACGUUGGUGGCCACGCUGGCCUUGGUGGCCCCCAUGGCAGCAGUGAUGGCCCCCGGGGUGAGGUUGGUGGCCACGGGGGGCUUGGUGGCCCCUGGGGUGACGACGGUGGCCACGGUGGCCCCUGGGGUGGCUUUGGUGGCCCCGGGGGUGACAACAGUGGCCCCCGGGGUGGCUUUGGUGGCCACUGGGGUGACAGAGUCCACGGCGACCCCUGCGGUGGCUUUGGUGGCCACUGGGGUGAGGGUGGUGGCCACGGUGGCGUUGGUGGCCCCCAGGGUGGCGUUGGUGGCCACGGUGGCUUUGGUGGCCCCUGGGGUGACAACGGUGGCCACGGUGGAGUUAGUAGCCCCCACGGAGACGUUGGUGGCCCCCGGGGUGACAACGGUGGCCACGGAGACGUUGGUGGCCCCCGGGGUGGCGUUGGUGGCCACGGAGACGUUGGUGGCCCCCAUGGAGACGUUGGUGGCCACGGAGACGUUGGUGGCCCCCGGGGUGACGUUGGUGGCCCCCGGGGUGCCAGCGACAGCGGUGGCCUUGGGGGUGACAUUAGUGGCCACGGGGGCGCCGCUGGUGGCCACGGGGGCGCCGCCGUCCACGGUGGCCUUGGGGGUGACGUUAGUAGCCACAGGGGUGACGUUAGUAGCCCGGGGGGCGCCGCCGGUAGCCACAGCGACCUUGGUGGCCCCCGGGGUGGCCGGGGGGGCCUUGGUGAGGUUGGUGGCCACAGGGGAGGGGCNNNNNNNNNNNNNNNNNNNNNNNNNNNNNNNNNNNNNNNNNNNNNNNGAUGUGACGGGGGAGGGCGGGGCCGGCGGCUUCGAGGGCGUGGCUGCGGGUGAUGACGUCACCGAUGAUGUCAUCGAUGAGGUUGACGUCACGGAUGAUGUCAGGGAUGACGUCACGGAUGGUGACGUCCCGGGUGAUGUCACCGAUGAUGUCACCGCCGGCCCCGAUGAGGUCACCGAGGGCUUUGACGUCACUGAUGACGUCAUCGGCGGCCCCGCUGAGGUCUUUGACGCCGCUGCUGAUGUCAUCAAUGACGUCACUGACGGCCCUGCUGAGGUCACUGCGGGCUUUGACGUCGCUGCUGAUGUCAUCGCCGGCCCCGAUGAGGUCACCGCCGCCUUGGACGCUGCUGCUGAUGUCAUCGAUGACGUCACCGCCGCCCCUGGUGAUGUCACUGCUGCCUUCGACGCCGCUGAUGUCACCGCCGGCCCUGGUGACGUCACCGAGGGCUUCGACGUCACCGAUGAUGUCACUGAUGACCCCGCUGAGGUCACCGCGGCCUUGGACGGCGCCGAUGACGUCGUAGACGGCGCCGAUGACGUCACUGGCGUCUUCGAUGACGUCACGGGCGACGCCCCCGCGGGCCCUGAUGAUGUCACCGCCGUCGACGCCUUCGGUGACGUCACGGGGGGCGCUGACGUCAUCGUCGACGUCAUCGUUGACGUUGUCGUCGCCGUCGUUGUUGAUGAUGUCAUCGGGGGGGUCGAUGAUGUCAUCGGGGAGGCGGAUGAUGUCAUCGGGGGGGUCGCUGACGUCACGGCCUUGCCGUCGGGCCCCGCCCCCGCCCCGGUAGCCCCCCUGGGGGGGUCGGUCGCCCCCUGGUUUCCGGUUCCCCCCCCCUCGGUGCCGGGCGGGGCGGG